AUGCUUAAUGACAGGAUAAACACAUGUGACCUUUUAACUAGAAAGAGCAUGCAUCUUGAUUCCACUACAUGUGUGUUAUGCAAUGCAGAAGACAUGGAAGACAGAAUGCAUCUCCUCUUCACUUGCCCAUUUAGUCAAGGUUUCUGGUGGGAUAUUGGAAUUGAAUGGAACUCAGAUUUGGAUAUUCACAAUAUGAUCAUGGAUGCCAAUCACAGAUAUAAAAUCAAACAUUUUAUGGAGAUUAUGAUAGUGGGCUGUUGGAGCAUUUGGAAUCAAAGAAAUGGGAGGAUAUUUGAGGGGAUACCUUGCUGAAUUAAUGAAUGCAAGUAUGAUUUCACCAAAUCUUUCAAGAUUACCAUGAUGAGAGCUAAGCCAUCUCUGAAAGAUGGCAUGUCAUCUUGGAUUGACAACAUUUAA
rnacentral:rRNA from 1 species